UGGCCCUCUGGAUUGUUUUAAGUGCAGAUCUGAACCAGAUACUUGCUUUCAUUUUGUCAGGAGCUGUCGCUCCGCACAGAGAUUUGUGGAGUUUUCCUUCUAAUGGAUCCCACUCGGCUCCGGCGCCCAGCCCUGGGGGAGUGCGCGUGCGUUGGGGGAGAGCAAACCUGCCGAUGCCAGGGAAAGGGAGACGGGGAAAACCUCCUGCCCAGACCGGUUGAUCUGUGCCCCCCCAUCGCUCAGGUCGCCCAGCUGAGGAUGCGCCAGGGAACAUCUUGACCUCCCUGGCCGGUCCCUCCUGGGGCACAGCGGCUCCCCUGCGCCAGAGGAUGCCCCUGGCUCUGCUCCGAGGCUUCGCACCGCAGCCGAGCCCCGUUGACCAACAACUGGUGUGCACAUCCCGGCACCCGACUCGAUCCGCUCCAGCAUCCAUAUGGAUGCAAGGCUUGAUCCCAAGGAGGAACCAGGACCCACAGGACGUCUGAGUCCAGACCUGUCUGCUGUAACCGCCAUAGACUCAAGAAGACUCCUUCCUUCUCGCUGCUUUGCUGUGGCUCUGAAAUUGCCUCCUGUUGCCUGUGCCGAUCUCUCCAACACAUCCCAGUCCAAGGUCAGCUGCACCGCUGGCUGCUUUAUGGCCCUUAAACACUCCUCAGCUGGGUCUCGCGUCCGUAGCCG